UAUUUGUUAAGUUUGAACAUUUUUUUAAAUCUCUGGUGAAAUAAAAACGUUAUGUUAACGGUAAAAAAAUAUUACGUGCCGAAACCGUGGUCGCGCAUUAAUAAUGUUAAUAGUCACUUGUUUGUUUUCUCUUUCAGCAGUUUGUCUGCAGUCUGCAGUCUGUACGCCAUAUUGCAGUGUGUUUUAAUAUAUUACUGACCGUGAAAUAACGUACAGUUUGUGUUUCAGGAUUUUGUGUUAAUAUUGUGUAUUUUAACUUUGUUAUAUUAUUUAUUAUCUACUAUUGUAAUGAUGGAAUUUGUUAUCGUUUUGAUAUUUUGUGUGGUUCUUGUGAUUGCUGUAAUGGUAAUUGGUUCCGGGAUGGGGAAAGCUACUUCGUCGCAGCGUCAGAUGGACAUCAUUAACGUCGCUCAGAACUUAUAUGUUUUAAUUAGAAAAGGCGACUUGAAGAAAUGUGACGUUACGCAGACGACCGCGUUUCUUCUCAACAUCGCAAAGUCAACUGUUCUCAAGUACUACAAGAAAGACAUUGAAGAAGUUUCAACACCAGGAAAAAAGAGGAAAAAAAGGCCACAGGAAGGAAAGUCACUUGACACAGUCGACGAUUUCACAGUAAAUGCAAUCAGGAAUGCAAUUUACAGGAUGUACGCUGAAGGUUUGAAUGUUACAGUCGACACCAUUUUGAAAGAAAUCAGGGAAAGACAAAUAGAUUAUUAUGGUGGAAGAUCAAGUCUUCAUAAAUUGUUAAAGAAGAUGGGAUUUUCAUGGACAACUGUUGAUGGACGAAAAGCUUUGAUAGAGAAUGAAAACAUAGUAUUGCAGCGAAUAGAUUUCUUGAGAAAGUAUAAAGAAGAAAAAGAAAGAGGUGCCAAUUUCAUAUUUGUUGAUGAAACAUGGAUUUUCCAGAGAGGAACUGUAUCAAAGUCAUGGCAGGACAAGAGUCUACAAUCUGCGAAGAGACGUACUGUUGGAGAUGGUAAAAGGUUUAUUGUUGUUAAUGCUGGAGGGCGCACUGGCUUUGUGCCAGGAGCAGGAUUACUUUUUGUUUCAGGUCAGAAGACUGCAGACUACCAUGGCGAGAUGAAUGGGGAAACUUUCUUGAUGUGGUUUGAAGACAUGUUGGUGCAUCUUGAGGAACCCAGUGUCAUCAUAAUGGACAAUGCUUCAUAUCACAGCACCCAGGUUGAGAAAACACCUACAACGAACUGGACCAAGGCUGCACUGAUCGCGUGGCUGGAGAAGAAUGGGAUAAAACAUGAAAAUAAUUAGUUGAAAGUGGAGCUGCUGAGAAUAGCUAAACAAAACAAGCCCCGAAUACGAUAUGAGGUAGACGAGUUGGCUCGUAACUAUGGCCACGAAAUUCUACGACUCCCACCCUAUCACUGCCACUAUAAUGCAAUCGAACUAGUUUGGGCUCAAUGUAAACACCAUUACAAUAGUAACGUGGGGCGGGCCAAGAGAUUUGACAAUGAUGCAGUUGCAGCCAUCUGGAAAGAGGCUCUUGAUGCUUCCACACCAGAGAGAUGGGCGAGGUGUGUGGAUCACGUGGAGAAGCUAAUUCAAGCAGACUGGGAGAGAGAAGUCCACAUAGACAGCGGCACCAUUCCUCCACUCAUCAUCCACCUCGGCGAGGAUAGUUCAAGUGAAGACAGUGACAGCGAAGAAUUUGAGGUUACGACACAGCAAGUAGAUGGAGACAGUGAAGUACUGGCAGUUCCUCUUGAUGAUUUACCCGGGUGUUCUUAUUGAGGUCUGUAUGUAAUAAACACCUGGGCAACUGUAAGUAUUGGGGUUUGAAACAUUUUUUUUUCUUUUAUGCAUUCCCAUUAAGUAUGUUGAUUACUGGAACUUUAUGUAUUAACUUUAUAUUACACGUAUUAUGAAAUUAAUAAUAAAUUUCAUUUCUGGAUUCGUA